rnacentral:misc_RNA from 1 species
AAGAGGUUUGAAUCAGUAAUGAUUCAUCUUCCCAUCCUGUGAUUAAACCACAUCUUUGUUUCUUGGUUGGCACUGAGAUUGAUUUAUCGACUCAGGUAAGACCGAUCAAUAUCCAAAAAAUUCUUUAUAAUUAUGAAUGUCUAAACCUUUUAUUUUUUAAAUAAAACA